CUGUACAAUGAGAAACUAUCUCAGAGCUGACCGGGCAAAGACACCAGUUUUCAUCAGACUCAUCCUGGGUUUGGUUAAUUCUACUGCUAUCUUAUAACACUAAUAACAUUA